AGGAGCAGGAUUGGACACCACUGGCUUAAACCUUCAGAAUCACGAAUGUUAGGUGUCAUUGAGAACGUGCACUAUGAAGUCAGAACAGAGCUGUGUGUUUUGCAACAUGUACAUUUAUGGCAUGCCUGGGGGUUACGAGAAAGGACUGGAGAUGGCGCUGGAACAACAAGAACUGACAACAAUACAUAUGUCAGAUCUGAUAGAGGGAUCAAGGGCAGAGCCUCGUCAAUUGCCACUUUAAUCAAAAAUACAGAAUGUUGUAUCUUCAAAUCAUGCCGUACUGCACAGAAAGGAAGAAACUUGAGCUGUUCAGUGAGAGAGUCGCCAUUGAGAAGGAAAGAUUACAAAUAGAAAGAGAGAGACUGGAGCUGGAAAGGUCAUAGGUGUGCAAAAGGUGCAGACAGGAACUGUAUAGCUUUUUCAUUUUUUCAUGAUGUAACAUUGAUUUGUGCAUUGCAAUGUCUGUUUUAAUAAAAAAGUGAUUUAAUGUAAUUGACAUUUUUUGGAAAAGACUACACUGUAAUAUUUUUAACCUAAAUAUAAUAAAAUGCAUACAUUAAAAAGUGAUGUUUUU